AGCAACAAUGAUGAGUUCUACAGACCUGUAAUGAUAUGCGAAUAUGAUCGCACAUCUUUUUGAACAUCUAAGGGACUGAGUUCUA